rnacentral:rRNA from 1 species
CCCACUGUGUGAACCUAAUGUGAACUGCAAACUGCCUUGAGCAUCGACUUCUUGAACGUAAAUUGCGGCAUUAGGCUCUGCCUGAUGCCACGCCUAGCCGAGUGUCGGCAU